AACGAACGCUGGCGGCAUGCCUAACACAUGCAAGUCGAACGAGACCUUCGGGUCUAGUGGCGCACGGGUGCGUAACGCGUGGGAACCUGCCCUUAGGUUCGGAAUAACUCCCCGAAAGGGGUGCUAAUACCGGAUAAUUUCUUCGGACCAAAGAUUUAUCGCCUUUGGAUGGGCCCGCGUUGGAUUAGCUAGUUGGUAGGGUAAAAGCCUACCAAGGCGACGAUCCAUAGCUGGUCUGAGAGGAUGAUCAGCCACACUGGGACUGAGACACGGCCCAGACUCCUACGGGAGGAAGCAGUGGGGAAUAUUGGAAAAUGGGCGAAGGCAUGAUCCAGCAAUGCCGGGUGAGUGAUGAAGGCCUUAGGGUUGUAAAGCUCUUUUACCCGGGAUGAUAAUGACAGUACCGGGAGAAUAAGCGCCGGCUAACUCCGUG
rnacentral:rRNA from 1 species